GGAGUGUGCUCAGAGCAGGUGGCCUUAAGAAUGGCUUUUGUUUUUACAGCACACCCAACAGGAAUCUAGGGUCAGUGUGACAAGGAGCACAAUGCUUAUGACUUCCCUGUGAGCAAAUGUCCUAAACAU
ensembl:snoRNA